AAGGGUAUAGCUCAGUGGUAGAGCGCAUGCUCAGCACCCAAGAGGUCCUGGGUUCAAUCCCCAGUACUUUCU
rnacentral:tRNA from 1 species